CUUAAGCAUAUCAAUAAGCGGAGGAAAAGAAACCAACAGGGAUUGCCUCAGUAACGGCGAGGGAAGCGGGAACAGCUCAAAUA
rnacentral:rRNA from 1 species